GGGAGUGGAAGAGGGCCCGGUGGCCCCCUCGGUUUUCAAAACCGUAGAGAGGCGUUUGGCGUCUCUGGUGGGUUCGACUCCCAUGCACUCCCGCCA
rnacentral:tRNA from 1 species